rnacentral:SRP_RNA from 2 species
GCUGGGCGUGGUGGCUCACGCCUGUAAUCCCAGCACUUUGGGAGGCCGAGGCGGGUGGAUCACCUGAGGUCAGGAGUUUGAGACCAGCCUGGCCAACAUGGCGAAACCCCGUCUCUA